AGCAGCGUGGCUCAGUGGAAAAGCACGGGCUUGGGAGUCAGAGGUCAUGGGUUCUAAUCCCGGCUCUGCUG
rnacentral:tRNA from 1 species